UGGGGAAUUUUGGACAAUGGGCGAAAGCCUGAUCCAGCAAUGCCGCGUGUGUGAAGAAGGCCUUCGGGUUGUAAAGCGCUUUUGUCCGGAAAGAAAUCCUUGGCUCUAAUACAGUCGGGGGAUGACGGUACCGGAAGAAUAAGCACCGGCUAACUACGUGCCAGCAGCCGCGGUAAUACGUAGGGUGCAAGCGUUAAUCGGAAUUACUGGGCGUAAAGCGUGCGCAGGCGGUUCGCUAAGACCGAUGUGAAAUCCCCGGGCUCAACCUGGGAACUGCAUUGGUGACUGGCAGGCUAGAGUAUGGCAGAGGGGGGUAGAAUUCCACGUGUAGCAGUGAAAUGCGUAGAGAUGUGGAGGAAUACCGAUGGCGAAGGCAGCCCCCUGGGCCAAUACUGACGCUCAUGCACGAAAGCGUGGGGAGCAAACAGGAUUAGAUACCCUGGUAGUCCACGCCCUAAACGAUGUCAACUAGUUGUUGGGGAUUCAUUUCCCUAGUAACGUAGCUAACGCGUGAAGUUGACCGCCUGGGGAGUACGGUCGCAAGAUUAAAACUCAAAGGAAUUGACGGGGUCAUAGCUGUUUCCU
rnacentral:rRNA from 1 species